GAUCAUGGCUCAGGAUGAACGCUAGCUACAGGCUUAACACAUGCAAGUCGAGGGGCAUCAGUUUGGUUUGCUUGACAAACCAAAGCUGGCGACCGGCGCACGGGUGAGUAACACGUAUCCAACCUGCCUCAUACUCGGGGGAUAGCCUUUCGAAAGAAAGAUUAAUAUCCGAUAGCAUAUAUUUCCCGCAUGGGGUUUUAUAUUAAAGAAAUUCGGUAUGAGAUGGGGAUGCGUUCCAUUAGGUAGUAGGCGGGGUAACGGCCCACCUAGCCUACGAUGGAUAGGGGGUUCUGAGAGGAAGGCCCCCCCACAUUGGAACUGAGACACGGUCCAAACUCCUACGGGAGGCAGCAGUGAGGAAUAUUGGUCAAUGGGCGAGAGCCUGAACCAGCCAAGUAGCGUGAAGGAUGACUGCCCUAUGGGUUGUAAACUUCUUUUAUAAAGGAAUAAAGUCGGGUAUGCAUACCCGUUUGCAUGUACUUUAUGAAUAAGGAUCGGCUAGCUCCGUG
rnacentral:rRNA from 1 species